rnacentral:rRNA from 1 species
UACGAAGGGGGCGAGCGUUGUUCGGAAUCACUGGGCGUAAAGGGCGCGUAGGCGGCCCUCCUUGUCGCGUGUGAAAGCCCCGGGCUCAACCUGGGAACGGCGCGCGAGACGGGGGCUGGAGUUCGGGAGAGGAGGCGUGGAAUUCCCAGUGUAGAGGUGAAAUUCGUAGAUAUUGGGAAGAACACCGGUGGCGAAGGCGGCGCUCUGGACCGAGACUGACGCUGAGGCGCGAAGCGUGGGAGCAACAGGAUUGAGA